rnacentral:rRNA from 1 species
CCUGGCUCAGAUUGAACGCUGGCGGCAUGCUUUACACAUGCAAGUCGAACGGUAACAGGGAGCUUGCUCCGCUGACGAGUGGCGAACGGGUGAGUAAUGCAUCGGAACGUACCCAGUCGUGGGGGAUAACGUAGCGAAAGUUACGCUAAUACCGCAUACGUCCUGAGGGAGAAAGCGGGGGACCGUAAGGCCUCGCGCGAUUGGAGCGGCCGAUGUCGGAUUAGCUAGUUGGUGGGGUAAAGGCCUACCAAGGCGACGAUCCGUAGCGGGUCUGAGAGGAUGAUCCGCCACACUGGGACUGAGACACGGCCCAGACUCCUACGGGAGGCAGCAGUGGGGAAUUUUGGACAAUGGGGGCAACCCUGAUCCAGCCAUGCCGCGUGAGUGAAGAAGGCCUUCGGGUUGUAAAGCUCUUUCAG